rnacentral:rRNA from 1 species
AGUGAACGCUGGCGGCGUGCUUAACACAUGCAAGUCGAACGAGAACGGGCUAUAGCUUGCUAUAGUUGUCAGCUAAGUGGCGCACGGGUGAGUAAUGUAUAGGUAAUAUGCCUCUUACUAAGGGAUAACAAAUGGAAACGUUUGCUAAUACCUUAUACUCCUUAUUAACAGAAGUUAAUAAGGGAAAGAUUUAUUGGUAAGAGAUUAGCCUGUAUUGUAUCAGUUAGUUGGUGGGGUAAUGGCUUACCAAGACUAUGACACAUAACUGGUUUGAGAGGAUGAUCAGUCACACUGGAACUGAGACACGGUCCAGACUCCUACGGGAGGCAGCAGUGGGAAUAUUGCACAAUGGACGAAAGUCUGAUGUAGCAACGCCGCGUGGAGGAUGACACAUUUCGGUGCGUAAACUCCUUUUAUAUGAGAAGAUAAUGACGGUAUUAUAUGAAUAAGCACCGGCUAACUCCGUGCCAGCAGCCGCCGCCG